GACGAACGCUGGCGGCGUGCCUAAUACAUGCAAGUAGGACGCAGUUGCGAACGGGUGAGUCACGCGUAGGUAACUGCCUCUUAGAGGGGGAUAACUAUUGGAAACGAUAGCUAAUACCGCAUACUAGUAGAUGGACCUGCGUUGUAUUAGCUAGUAGGUAGGGUAAUGGCCUACCUAGGCGACGAUACAUAGCCGACCUGAGAGGGUGAUAGGCAACACGGGGACUGAGACACGGCCCAGACUCCAACGGGAGGGAGCAGUAGGGAAUCUUCGGCAAGUGGGGGAACCCUGACCGAGCAACGCCGCGUGGGUGAAGAAGGUUUUCGGAUCGUAAAGCUCUGUUGUUAAGGAAGCGGUACUUAACCAGAAAGGGACGGCUAACUACGUGCAAGCAGCCGCGGUAAUC
rnacentral:rRNA from 1 species